rnacentral:lncRNA from 10 species
GAGAGACUCCGAGCCAGCAGGAGGGAGCAGUGUCGGGAAAGGAUUCCUGGAGCUGAGGCUUCAAAAACAAGCAGGACGAGGCCAAGUCAACCACAGCUGGGGCAGGGAGGACUGCCAGGGAGAGGAAGCAGCGUGCACGAAGGCACGGAGGCUCUUCUUCUGCACGUUCUGGGCCAUCCCCCUCAGAGGGCCCCAGGAAAUGGGCCCAGCCCCAUAAGCACCAGCCACAGUCAUCUCCCAUGCUGCCAGCUGCCCCCAGACGCACCCACACAGACACUGGUACAAAAGGCAGGAACCAGCCAGGCUCCAGGCUGGGGAACCUCCAGGUGCUCUGUGGCUCUGAAACGCCAUGGACAAGCCAUUCAUUGUCAUCCUGACGAGGAAGGCCUAACAGGAGGAGGAGAGCAACAUCUUCCUGGACAGAAACUCCGCCAUCUCUGACUCUUGCCUGGAUGUCUGCAGCUGUCUCCACACACCUGGCGCCACAUGACUCCCAGCCUCCUGUCCAGGGGCACCUUUUGUUCCUACCAGCUGGAGCUACAUGUUACUACUUCAGAGACAGGGGACAGGCCAUGUCUCCACUUGCAUGCCUUUGCUGGCUCUGUGACCUCUGCUCAGAACACCUCCAGAUCCAAGUCAAAGACUUCCUUCUUCUCCUAAUGGAGAUGAUUCUCUCCCUCCACAGAAAUUUAUAAGCACCUAGCCAAUACCAACUACGCUAGACACUGGGCUAAGUGCUUUAAGCAGCUUCUCAUUUAAUUUCACCAAAACCCCGUGAUAUAGGUACAUCAUUUUUUCCAUUUCAUAGAUAAGGAAAUUGAGCCUGGGAGAUGUUAAGUAAUUUGUCCAAGGCCAAAUGGCCAUGUAAUCUUUUCCCCACCCAACACUAUCAUUAGGAAGGCAGCGGAAAGACCAUGGGCUUACGAGUCAGACUAAUCUUGAUUCCAACUCCAGCUCAGUCAUUUAUCAGCUGUGUGGUGCUGGACAGGCUUACAUAACUGCUCUGUGCCUCAUUACACUCAUAUGUUCCACAGGGAAGCUAACAUUCACCUUGCAGUUCCACAAAAAUUACAAAUAAACAAUGCCUGGCACAAAGUAGUAGGAAAAACAAAUAGAAUAUAGUCAAUCAUUAGUGUUUACUCAGUGUUUCAUAUCAGCCUGGCACUGACCUAAGUACCUUACACGUAGUACCUCAUUUAAACCUCAAAACACUCGUGUGAUACAGGUAUUAUUAUUAUCCUCAUUUUACAGAGGAGGAGUCCAAGGCCCAGGGCCAGUCCACUUUCAGCUUCCUAUUCUGUCUUCUUCACUUCUUAAAUGCCCUCCUUGGGGACAUGUGAAAGCAGUUAAAUGUGACAGAGAUUUGAUUUCUCAUUUUCAGACUAUAAGUCUUUAUUUUUAUUUGUCUGCACCCUGGCCUGUAUUUUGUUUAGCACAAGAAAGGUGAAUUGGGUUAAUAUGUAUCUGUAAUAAUAACAUCACCAUCAUUAAUAAUGAUAGUAAAAGCCGCCAUGUAUUCCAUGCUUCCUGUAUACCAGGCAAUGUAUACAUAUAAUCUCUAACCUUUUAUGUGUUAAGUGCUCAGCAAGUCAGUUUUCUUCAAAAUCUCCCCAACCGACUUCUGCAUUCCCCUCGCUGGUCCUCUGAAUGACAUGGCACAUAGGAAAUGCCAUCCUUUGGCACUCAAUAAGUAGAGCAGGGCCUUCUAAAAUUGCUGACUGUGUGUACACAGCCCCUCUCCAGCUUGAUUCUUAGUUCCAAGAAGGUAGAACCCUGUCUUGAUUGUCUUUGCAGGCCUCAGAGCUCAGCAUAAUAAUGUACUUACAGAAGAACUACGUGACAUUUAGUGUUUGAUAGGAAUCCAAAUCUAAACUUAUCUGGAAGGAAGUAAAAGGAUACCUGUUGAGUACCCUCCAGCAGCCACAAGACGUCAAGAAUGUUUCCUUAUAUUAUCGCAUUUAUCCUCAAGAACCCAUCUGACUUUUAUUGAUGAGGAAACUGGGGCUCAGCAAAGUCAAGGCUCACAGUGGUGAAAGGAUUUCAACCAAGGUCUGUCAUAAAUCCCAGAGAUGUUGGGGAAUACCGUAGCUGAAUUCACACCUUGAGAAGUGUGAAAGUGAAGAGUGUUGGAGGCUGGAGAAAGUCAUGUUAUGCGUAUUACUGAGCCCUUCUAGAAUGCCAAUGUGUUCUAGAUGGUUUAUAAUGAUCCACCCUCCCCACUCCCCAUUCUCUCUGAAAUGUUAGUUACUUUGGUUAAAAGAUAUAACUAAUAUACAUGAAUGAGACUCUACUAGGAACAAUCGUGGCAGAGAGGUAUGACUUUGUAUACAUGGUAUUGAAACCUGUUUUUGUUUAUUAAAAGGAAAAAUAUUACACAUAAGAAAAAUGACUGGUUGUUCCAGAAUAAGAAAGGGAACAGGGAAGGUCAAAUCUGAA